AACAAAGUCCCACAUAAUCAGGAAAAUGAUCAUAAAACCUCCAUGAUAGAGUAUGUUUAUCUUUAGGGUAUAAUUUUCAAUAUUUUAUCUCAUCCAUUUCUAAAGCCCUUACAUAGCUUAUUGCUCUGUGACUUCUUCACCAUCGUGUGCCCGUGCGCAUCUCUAACUCAAGUAAGCAAACAUCUGAAAAUAUUUGUGGCAGAUUUGUGUUGCAAGCACAUGUACAUAUACAACCCCCAAAUACUGCAGGGUGUGGGUGACAAGUUUCUUACAUUUGUGUGCAUGUUUCAAGAGCCACUUACAUACCUGUACCUGUACCUGUAGCUCCCUUGUUCACCCAUCGAAAGAUUUUGUGUCCUCUGUGUGCACUUUGUAAUGAAUUUUUAAUGCAGUUUCUGCUGCCCCUGAACAUUGCACACACACAGAACACUCAGCGGAGGAGUUGGGUCUGAGGCAUGUUCCCGCCUAAUGAAAUUAACCUUUUCUUUCCCUUUCACUUGGGCGAAAAACAGAAAUAAGUAGAUGCGCUUUAUUUGUAAUUGAAUUACUUUUAAGUGGCUUUCGAGUGGCGAAUAGUUAAGCAGGACACAAUUUAAUUAAAAACCUAUGAAAACAGAGUUGAGAUGAGAUGAUUUUAAACCGUAAUUUAAUGGCACCAUGAGCAGAUUUCAUAUUUUCUUGUAUUUUAGAGAGAAGAAUGUUUGAAAGGAACUUGUCAAGGCUCAUAAAAUGUUCUGAAUAGUCCGAACAUAUUUUAAAAUUAAUCCCUUUCGAACAUUUGUCGUAAA
rnacentral:lncRNA from 1 species